rnacentral:rRNA from 1 species
UACGUAGGGGGCUAGCGUUAUCCGGAAUUACUGGGCGUAAAGGGUGCGUAGGUGGUUUCUUAAGUCAGAGGUGAAAGGCUACGGCUCAACCGUAGUAAGCCUUUGAAACUGGGAAACUUGAGUGCAGGAGAGGAGAGUGGAAUUCCUAGUGUAGCGGUGAAAUGCGUAGAUAUUAGGAGGAACACCAGUUGCGAAGGCGGCUCUCUGGACUGUAACUGACACUGGAGGCACGAAAAGCGUGGGGGAG